AUGGGUCUUAUUAUUAAAUUCCUUCUCCAUCUCAUUAUGGAUAAUGGCAUGAAGACUUACUGAAACAUGUCUUUAGGGCCCCCGCUAGUUUUUCAAUUGUGGUAAUUAUUAUUACAUUUUUUUUUUAAACAGGCCUUGUAUUCAUAAGAUGCUUAGAGCUUCUAGAAUGCUUUCAUUGACAUUUUCUUCAUUUUGAUCUCCUUGUAAUGCAGGAGGUCUGUGUUACUUCUCCAGUUGAUCAAGGAGGAAAUGGAGGCACAGAAAGGUGAAGUGAACUGCCUAGGGUCGCGUGGCUACGUAAGCGGUGCAGAUAGUAACAAUUUUGAGCACUGGCUGGUGUCAGGUGCUGUGCUAAGAGCUGUAUAUGUAGUAGGUCAUUUAGUCCUUGCCCCAAACCCAUUAUUAUCCCUCAUUUUACAGAUGAGAACACAGAGGCCCAGAGGGAUUACCUAUUUAUUCAACGUCACACAGGUACCAAGGGGUAGAGCCAAGGUCUGAACUGAGGCAGAGGUGCAUCUAGGUUCAUGCUAGAAAGGGAAUGUUGCAAUGUUUGCAAAAACAAAAGCAAAAGCAUAUAUGGGGGUUUCUCCAGCUCUGUCCUGGAGUAAUGGUGUCCUGGCUGGCCACAGUGAAGACCAUAGGAGGCUUGGAUUAUCAUUCUCCUAUAGAAGGAAGGGCUUUGCCAGGCUCCCCAAAUGGGUGGAUGGUAAAUAAGUCCUCUUCGAAGCAUCUGUUGGGCCCAGCCAGCACUAUGUCUGAGAGUAUCUGACAUUUAUACUUUGGUGCAGGGCCAGCUCCCAAACACUCCCACCCCAAUCUGCCCCUUACUUCUUCUGACUCACCUUGCUCAGCCCAUGUGCACACCUGGGCACCUGAAUCAGAGUCUCAGCUGAAAUCAACUUCACCCAGAUGGUACAACCGAGGAGACUUUCAGGAGGGAUCUGCUUACAAAGGUGUGUUCAGGUCAAGGGAACAAACAGGAUGUUGAGGCAUCCAGAGACUGGCGGGAAGAUGUUACCACCCUUUUAGGCUUGGAAGGAGAAAGGGGCAAAAAGGCGGUCUUACCAGAGCUCGUAUGAGCUGGAGCCAUUGAGGAGCUGUGUCUGUGGAGGGGUGCAGCCAAGGCCACAAAUACGGUGCAGAGCUGAAUCCUCUCUCCUCCCACUUUCCAGUCUCCGGCCAGUGCCUCUCAUUGCUGAGUCCGAUCAGUAUCCACCUGACAAGGGAGCCCAGCUGAUGCAGUCCCCUGGGAUCAGUUUCCCUGAGCGCAGAGCAGGGCAGAGGAAGGGGGAGAGUGCAUGCAGGAGAGCAGGGCCAGGCAGAGAAUAGCCAGCACAUGACCACAUCAGUUGUUUACCUCACAACCCAGACACUAGGCAGACCCCCUACCUCCUCCCCACUGCAGUUCCACAUGUUGGGCUGAACUUCCCUAUCGUGCAUCAUUUACUCCCUUGGCUCUGAGUUUUCCGACCCCAAGUUCUUUUUCCAAAGAGGCUCCCCUGCUAUGAGGAAAAUGGAAGACUGGCCAACAGGAGCGUCCUGAUGUGCUUGAGAGUGGAUUUGCUGGAUGUGUAAGCUGGUUUUCAGGAAUUUGAAUUGCUCUGGUGUGAAACUGAGUGUAUGCCAUGCCUGGCUGACGGAGAACAAGAACUUACAGACUGAGAGAGGCAGUGGUGAGCCAGAAGUUACAUCACGGUGCCUGGAGCAUCAUGGCCCCAUAAAGAACAACAGUCUGUGAGGUCCACACCUUCAACAUUUGAAUGUUGAAGAAGGUUCUGAGUUUAUGUAAAGCCUUUGACGUUGUGAGAACAGACUUAGAAGCCAGAUUGCUUGCAUCCAAAUCUAGACACCACCACUUACUGGGUAAGUUACUUCACUUCUCUGACCCGCAUUUUUCUCCUCUAUAAAAUAAAAGUAAUAAAAGCACCUACCUUGUUAUCUGUUGCCAUAUAACAGAUCAUCCCCACAGUUACUGGCCUAAACUAACAGGAGUCUAUCAGGAAUCUGCAAUUUGGACAGAGCUUGUCUCCGCUCCAUGCCACGUCUGGGCCCCCAGCUGGAGUGACUCAAAUGGCUGGGGCUGGAUCUGCUGAGGGCUGGCUGGGCAUUUCAGUCUCUCUUUGCACAGAGCCAAGACUCUCUAUGAGAUUUCUCAUGUGGUACUUCCAGCUCGUGGCCUCAGGAUAGAUGUGCAUCUUACAUGCAGUUCAAGGCACUAGGAGCAGGUAAUCUGGAAGAAUAAAGUAGAGGUUUGGAGGCCAUUUUGCUCGAAUCCAGCAGUCACACAAUCUACUAACACCAAAUUCUAUUUGUCACACAGGCCAGCUCUAAUGCGUUUGGGAGGGGACUCCAUAAGGUCAUGCUCACUGAGUGGGGAGCAGUGUGGAGGCUGGGUAAUAAGAGUUCGUACAUCUGUGUAGACUGAGUGUGCGAGAGGGCUGUUCUGGGGCCUCCGAGGGACUUGUUCAGGAGCCAUAGGUUAUUGUGGUUGGCUAACUCUUAGGCUUCCAUUUUGCAGAGUGAAGUAUUAUAUCUGAGAAGAUCUGAAGUGCUCGGGGCAGCAAACAGGGCUUUGGAGGCUGUCUGGGGAAGGAAGCAGGGAGCAGCGAAGGAGCUGACUAGAAGAGGAUUUGGAAGGGAACCAAGAUACCCCUUAGGAAUUGAAGAAGUCUUGUGUUGUGGUGUGUGAGGUCAAUCCUCUCCCCAUUCUCUCCAACAAAACCUUCAGUAAAUUGUCUCUUCUGUGAGUGCAUUGUGGAUCUGUCUUGAGGGGCACAUCAAAUGGGUGAGAGAGACAGAGCACAAGCAAAGGAGGGGCAGAGAGAGAGGGAGACACAGAAUCCGAAGCAGGCUCCAGGCUCAGAGCUGUCAGCACAGAGCCCAAUGCAGGGCUUGAACUUGUGAACCUCGAGAUCAUGACCUGAGCCAAAGUUGGCCACUUAACCACCUGAGCCACUCAGGCACCCCUCACAUUUGAUCCUUACAACAGAUCCUGGAAGUAUCACACAGUGGCUAUAGCAAGGAGGGCUUGAACUGAACUAUGUCUGCAUGGAGCGCAACCAAAGAAGAGUCAAGUGUGCAAAAGAAUAACAAGUCAAUGGUGUUCUCCAGGGCUGUCCAUUAGAGAGCGUAGACUCAGAUUUGAGAAAAGAGGAAAAACAGGCUUUGAGGAUCUGAAAAUUGACUCCGGUAAGAACUCAAGACUCACAUGGAAAGUUGUCCAGAUUCUUGCUAUUGGAAUGUGGUCUGUGGACAGGCAGCAUCAGCAUCACCUGGGAGCUGGGUAGAAAUGCAGACUCUUGGGCCUACUCCAGACCUACGGAAUCAGAAUCUGCAUUUGAUGGAAUCUCAGGGUGAUUUGCAAGCACAUUCAAGUCUGAGAAACACUGAGCUGGACCACCGCCACUCCCCUCCCGGAAGAACGUGGCUUCGCAGCCUGGAAUCUGCCCGUGUUCCCCGCGUGGGCUCCUUCCUAGGAAAAAUACGUGUGAACAAAACGUAAAAGGAUUAAUUUAGCAUCAUAUCCCGUGAUUUCAAUGUGGGGCGAAGUGUGGGAGCUUAAUAAGUCGGUGACCCAUCUGAGCUGGCAUCAGAGGAAGGAUCAGGGUGCUCAAAAGAAGGGCCUUGGAUGAUGGCCUCCAAGGCACCCUCUUUCUGUGAAAGGUAAGGAAGGCAGCUGGCUGACCACGUGACUAUACAGCAGGCACGGGGCAGCCUGGUACGUCAGAGGCCCUCAAUAGAUGUUUUGUUGGAAGAAUGGAUUGACUGUUCUUCUAAGUCAAUUUGAGACCAAAAGCAGGGUUGGAUUGACAGACUUCUCGCCACACCCACAAAACCGAUAAACAUAGUGUUUUGCAAAUAUUAUGUAAAUGCUGAGUGUAAAUUUGGU